AACGAACGCUGGCGGCAUGCCUAACACAUGCAAGUCGAACGAAGCCUUCGGGCUUAGUGGCGCACGGGUGCGUAACGCGUGGGAAUCUGCCCCUUGCUUCGGAAUAACAGUUAGAAAUGACUGCUAAUACCGGAUGAAGUCUUCGGACCAAAGAUUUAUCGGCAAGGGAUGAGCCCGCGUAGGAUUAGGUAGUUGGUGGGGUAAAGGCCUACCAAGCCGACGAUCCUUAGCUGGUCUGAGAGGAUGAUCAGCCACACUGGGACUGAGACACGGCCCAGACUCCUACGGGAGGCAGCAGUGGGGAAUAUUAGACGAUGGACGCAAGUCUGAUCCAGCAAUGCCGCGUGAGUGAUGAAGGCCUUAGGGUUGUAAAGCUCUUUUACCAGGGAUGAUAAUGACAGUACCUGGAGAAUAAGCACCGGCUAACUCCGUG
rnacentral:rRNA from 1 species